CUCAAACGUCUGCUCUAUCUUCUCCUCCAGGAAGUAGAUCCGAAGCUUCAGGCUGAAGUUCUCCUUUUUCAGGUCAUUUAGAUGCUGUUCAUGUUGCCAGGAGGCCCUGCUAGGAGCUGGUGAUAGUUGGUGACCGGCUGGGGUCUUGCUGCUGU